AAAAAAUUCCUGUAAAUUUACGGUGAAAAUAAACAGCAAAAUACUGUUUUAAUGUAAAAACAGCAAGUUGCCGUUUUUUACAAUGCAUCAUGGGAAGACUUGCUCACUUCAGUUUGAGUGGUUGAGCAACAACAGUAAGGGCACUGUAAUUUAACGGUUUUAUACCAUAUUUUUUUCUGUGUACACAAGACGCCAUUUUGGAUUAUCUACAUGAGGUACUUACAAGAAAGGAUAAUUGGAUAAUUUGGAUAUUUUCGACGAGGAUCCGACCGUGUGAAUGUCUUGAGAAGAGAAAGGGGGUAACUUUAGCCUAAUUUAGCAAGCUAACGAUAGCUGGAGGACUCAUUUUCACAUCACACACAGAUACACCUUUUCAUUUGCAACUCCGGUGCUUCUAAAAAUAACAUUUUAAGAUCGAGUGAGACCUUUGUUAUUUUUACGUUAUUGCAGUUGGUUUAUAUAGAAAUUGACUAGAGUUACGAUCAGAUUUUAUGCUUGGUAACGUUACCUAAAGUGGCAGAGCUUUUAAUCUUUUUGAUGAUGUGAGUAAGGAGUAACUGCUAUUAUAAUGAAAAUUCUUUACAAUUCAUUUUUGACCAAUAGAUGUCUGCCACCACUGCUAAUCUUGAAAAGAUGGGUAACCUGCCUGUGACUCCUCAAUUGAUUCUGCCUGGUUCAGAUGAUACUUUGGGCCAGUGGAUAAAACAAUGGAUGAUCAGCACGGAAGGCAGAGUAAUCUGUGAGGGUGAGCAUGCACACUGGAAUUCCUUCAAAGAUGCUUUGCUGGCAUAAAUCCAGAGAGGGGAACCAAGGCUGUGAGAGGAAAUGUGACGUCAAAAAAAACUGGCAAGACAGUUCAGAAGAAGACCAUGACUGUAAACCCCAAGGUUUCAAACCUUUUAAAGAAACUAAUGGACUUUGAAUGGGACUUUAUUUAAAAUGCAGCUAGCUUGAACCCCCUACUUUUGCAACACAGAGGCCUUUUUUUCUUUAUUUGCUGAAGCUCAUUUUGGGGCUAUAUAUUUUUAUAUUUUAUAUCCAAGACUAAAUUGUAAAGUGGCUAUUUAUUAAUUUUUUCUAUGACAUUCGGUAAGUUGCUUCUUGUUGUACAAUGCUGAAAACCAUCUUAACAUUUCUGGAGAACUUACAAUUUUUGCCUGUUCUUUGGCUUAAUAUUUUCACAAACACAAUGCAGAUUUUAUUUUGUGUUGUUUGAAAAUAAAAAAAUGUGAAAUAUAACUUG